rnacentral:tRNA from 1 species
CGAUUAGCUCACUCGGUUAGAGCGUGGUGCUGAUAACACCAAGGUUGUGGGUUCGAUCCCCGUUCG